UACGUAGGGGGCAAGCGUUGUCCGGAUUUAUUGGGCGUAAAGAGCGUGUAGGCGGCCAGGUAGGUCUGCUGUGAAAACUCGAGGCUUAACCUCGAGAUGUCGGCGGAAACCAUCUGGCUAGAGUCCGGAAGAGGAGAAUGGAAUUCCCGGUGUAGCGGUGAAAUGCGCAGAUAUCGGGAAGAACACCCGUGGCGAAGGCGGUUCUCUGGGACGGUACUGACGCUGAGACGCGAAAAGCGUGGGGGAGCGAACAGA
rnacentral:rRNA from 1 species